rnacentral:pre_miRNA from 1 species
CAACUACUCCUUUUGUCCCAAAUUUCUUGUCUUAGAUUUGUCUAGAUACGGAUGUAUCUAAUACUAAAAUGUGACUUGAUACAUCCGUAUCUAGACAAAUCUAAGACAAGAAUUUUGGGACGGAGGGAGUACUUU